rnacentral:rRNA from 1 species
UUUCCCUCAGGAUAGCUGGCACUCGCGAACAAUUUUUGCGCGAGUCUCAUCUGGUAAAGCGAAUGAUUAGAGGCCUUGGGGCCGAAACGACCUCAACCUAUUCUCAAACUUUAAAUGGGUGAGAUCUCUGGCUUGCUUGAACGUUGAAGCCACGAGAUUGGAUCAGAGUGCCAAGUGGGCCAAUUUUGGUAAGCAGAACUGGCGCUGUGGGA